rnacentral:rRNA from 1 species
GCCUACCAUGGUUUUAACGGGUAACGGGGAAUUAGGGUUCGAUUCCGGAGAGGGAGCCUGAGAAACGGCUACCACAUCCAAGGAAGGCAGCAGGCGCGCAAAUUACCCAAUCCCGACACGGGGAGGUAGUGACAAUAAAUAACAAUACAGGGCUCUUACGGGUCUUGUAAUUGGAAUGAGUACAAUUUAAAUCCCUUAACGAGGAACAAUUGGAGGGCAAGUCUGGUGCCAGCAGCCGCGGUAAUUCCAGCUCCAAUAGCGUAUAUUAAAGUUGUUGCAGUUAAAAAGCUCGUAGUUGAAUUUCGGGGUUCUACCGUCGGUCGGGCUAACAAGUCUGUACUGGUGUGUAGAAUUUCUACCUUCUGGGGAACUAUCAUGUUAUUAAUUUAGCGUGGUGGGAAACCAGGACCUUUACCUUGAAAAAAUUAGAGUGUUCAAAGCAGGCUUACGUCUGAAUACAUUAGCAUGGAAUAAUAGAAUAGGACGGUGGUCCUGUUUUGUUGGUUUCUGAAUCACCGUAAUGAUUAAUAGGGAUAGUUGGGGGCAUUAGUAUUCAAUUGUCAGAGGUGAAAUUCUUGGAUUUAUUGAAGACUAACUUCUGCGAAAGCAUUUGCCAAGGAUGUUUUCAUUAAUCAAGAACGAAAGUUAGGGGAUCGAAGACGAUCAGAUACCGUCGUA